rnacentral:lncRNA from 10 species
AUAGACUUUAAAGCCGGAAAAUGUACUGACCUUGGGAAUAGCAAGAGAAAGUACUUCCUUUCCCUCUCCUGACACCAAGUGAUCCCAUCCCUGUGUUUAGGCCUAGUCCAACCUUCUAAGCUGUGCGUCGCUUCCAUGCUUUGGAGCAUUUUACAUAUAUUUACCCACUUCAUCCUCAAGACAAUACCAUUAAGUAUGCACGAUCAUCAACUCCAUUCUACAAAUGAAGAAACCGGCACAGUGAAGACCAAGGAAUGACCACAUGAGAACACAGCAAGAAGGCAUCCACCUGCACGCCAGGAAGAGAGCCCUCACCUGCAACUGAAUUGGCUGACUUCUUGAUCUUGGACUUCCAGCCUCCAGAACUGUA